GUGGCGUGCCCCUGCGCGCGACGUCAGCCUUAAUUGGAGAUAAUCACAGAGGGUGUUUCACUGUCACUGGGAGGUAAAGGGAUCAAUGGGCAGGCAACGUCUCCUUCCUCUCAGUGGCACGAAACACAACCCUGUUAUUACCGUAAUGCACCUGAUAUGUAUACACUGUGUGUGUGUGUGUGGAGGGGGGGGGGGUGUAUGGGAAUGUGUGGCGGAGCGGUGGCGCAGUGGUGAGCGCAGGUCGGCGAUGUCAGCCACGUGGAACGGAGUGGGCUCGCGAAAGUUCGCGAGGCCGUCGUCCCCCGUGGAGAUGGAACGACGGAUUCACGUGGGUGCGCUGGCUGGGCUGGUGCACAUGGCAGCGUGCGGCGAGAAGUUUCUGGGAGGGCGGAUGUUUGGAGGGAGGCCUUCGUCCGGCAGUGGAUUGACCAUGGCUGAAAAUAAUUCUUUACAUACGGUGAUGUUAUCUUGCCGACCCGCUCAUACUGGACAUCUGUGAAAAAGAGCUUCACAUGUCCACGGAUCCCUCCUGCAGUCGAAAUAAAGAUUCCGAAUAAA